GACGUAGGGCGCGAGCGUUGUCCGGAUUUAUUGGGCGUAAAGAGCUCGUAGGCGGCUUGUCGCGUCGUUCGUGAAAACCUGCAGCUCAACUGCAGGCUUGCGGUCGAUACGGGCAGGCUGGAGUUCGGUAGGGGAGACUGGAAUUCCUGGUGUAGCGGUGGAAUGCGCAGAUAUCAGGAGGAACACCGAGUGGCGAAGGCAGGUCUCU
rnacentral:rRNA from 1 species